AGACCCGUGGUGUAACGGCUAUCACGCGACCUUCACACGGUCGAGACGGCAGUUCAACUCUGCCCGGGUCUA
rnacentral:tRNA from 1 species